UACAGAGGGGGCAAGCGUUGUUCGGAUUUACUGGGCGUAAAGGGCGCGCAGGCGGCAGACCAAGUCAGGCGUGAAAGCCCCGGGCUUAACCUGGGAGGUGCGUCUGGGACUGGUAUGCUAGAGUUCGGGAGAGGAGAGUGGAAUUCCCAGUGUAGAGGUGAAAUUCGUAGAUAUUCGCAAGAACACCAGUGGCGAAGGCGGCUCACUGGCCCGAUACUGACGCUGAGGCACGAAAGCGUGGGGAGCAAACAGG
rnacentral:rRNA from 1 species